GGCUUGACUGGUACAGUGGUUUCAGUGUUGGACUACAACUCUGGAGACCAGGGUUCAAUUCCCCACUCAGCCA